AGCGAACGCUGGCGGCAGGCUUAACACAUGCAAGUCGAACGGUCCUUCGGGAUAGUGGCGGACGGGUGAGUAACACGUGGGAACGUACCCUUAGGUUCGGAACAACACAGGGAAACUUGUGCUAAUACCGGAUAAGCCCUUCGGGGGAAAGAUUUAUCGCCUUUGGAGCGGCCCGCGUCUGAUUAGCUUGUUGGUGUGGUAAUGGCCCACCAAGGCUACGAUCAGUAGCUGGUCUGAGAGGAUGGCCAGCCACACUGGGACUGAGACACGGCCCAGACUCCUACGGGAGGCAGCAGUGGGGAAUCUUGCGCAAUGGGCGAAAGCCUGACGCAGCCAUGCCGCGUGGAUGAUGAAGGUCUUAGGAUUGUAAAAUCCUUUCACCGGGGACGAUAAUGACGGUACCCGGAGAAGAAGCCCCGGCUAACCUCGUGCCAGCAGCCGCAGUAA
rnacentral:rRNA from 1 species